rnacentral:rRNA from 1 species
GAUGAACGCUGGCGGCGUGCCUAAUACAUGCAAGUCGAGCGAACAGACGAGGAUCUUGCUCCUCUGACGUUAGCGGCUGACGGGUGAGUAACACGUGGAUAACCUACCUAUAAUACUGGGAUAACUUCGGGAAACCGGAGCUAAUACCGGAUAAUAUAUUGAACCGCAUGGUUCAAUAGUGAAAUACGGUUUUGCUGUCACUUAUAGAUGUAUCCGCGCCGCAUUAGCUAGUUGGUAAGGUAACGGCUUACCAAGGCAACGAUGCGUAGCCGACCUGAGAGGGUGAUCGGCCACACUGGAACUGAGACACGGUCCAGACGCCUACGGGAGGCAGCAGUAGGGAAUGUUCCGCAAUGGGCGAAAGACUGACGGAGCAACGCCGCGUGAGUGAUGAAGGUCUUCGGAUCGUAAAACUCUGUUAUUAGGGAAGAACAAAUGUGUAAGUAAAUAUGCACGUCUUGACGGUAACUAAUCAGAAAGCAACGGCUAACUACGUG